rnacentral:rRNA from 1 species
AUGCAGUCGAGCGCCCCGCAAGGGGAGCGGCGGACGGGUGAGUAACGCGUGGGAACGUGCCUCUUGCUACGGAAUAGCCUCGGGAAACUGGGAGUAAUACCGUAUAAGCCCUACGGGGGAAAGAUUUAUCGGCAAGAGAUCGGCCCGCGUUGGAUUAGGUAGUUGGUGGGGUAAUGGCCUACCAAGCCGACGAUCCAUAGCUGGUUUGAGAGGAUGAUCAGCCACACUGGGACUGAGACACGGCCCAGACUCCUACGGGAGGCAGCAGUGGGGAAUCUUAGACAAUGGGCGCAAGCCUGAUCUAGCCAUGCCGCGUGAGCGAUGAAGGCCUUAGGGUUGUAAAGCUCUUUCGUGGGGGAAGAUAAUGACUGUACCCCAAGAAGAAGCCCCGGCUAACUCCGUGCCAGCAGCCGCGGUAAUACGGAGGGGGCUAGCGUUGUUCGGAAUUACUGGGCGUAAAGCGCGCGUAGGCGGACUGGAAAGUCAGAGGUGAAAUCCCAGGGCUCAACCUUGGAACUGCCUUUGAAACUCCCAGUCUUGAGGUCGAGAGAGGUGAGUGGAAUUCCGAGUGUAGAGGUGAAAUUCGUAGAUAUUCGGA